rnacentral:lncRNA from 1 species
AUCUGCCUCAUGCAUUCCGCAAUGAUGGUUAGAUGGCUAGUUCAACAUGCUAACACCAUCUUACACGGGAUCCCCGCCUAUAAAUACCUCCAAGAACGAUGGAGAAGGGAUUGAUUCUCAAGUAUACAAAGCCUAUUCUCUAUCAACUUACUUUGAGUACUUAGUCCUUGCGUUCUCUCCACCUUCACUCCUUAUAACCUCCAGCUCUCUGCCUCGACUGGAUGAACCGACCACCGUAACCACUACCUCGUCUUCCUCCUAGUUCUUUCCUCGUUGUAUCACUAAAUCAACAAUAUUCAUUUAGCCAACUGUAGCAACAACAAAAAAAAUCAAACAAAUAAAGAAUGAAACUUGGUGGGAUUAAAUGUAAAAGUUAAAGUUUUUCAAACAAAUAUGUCUUGUAUUUAAAAUAUUACAAUGAGACAGAUAAAUAUGUGAUAUUAUUUAAUGACC